rnacentral:tRNA from 1 species
UGGUUGUAGCUGAGUGGUAAAAUGUUUGCCUGGCAUGCAUGAGGUCCUGGGUUUGAUUCCCAACAAUACAA